rnacentral:rRNA from 1 species
GGGGAAUAUUGCACAAUGGGGGAAACCCUGAUGCAGCGACGCCGCGUGAGCGAAGAAGGCUUUCGGGUCGUAAAGCUCUGUCCUAAGGGAAGAUAGUGACGGUACCUUAGGAGGAAGCCCCGGCUAACUACGUGCCAGCAGCCGCGGUAAUACGUAGGGGGCGAGCGUUAUCCGGAAUUAUUGGGCGUAAAGGGUUCGCAGGUGGUCCUUUAAGUCAGGUGUGAAAGGCAGUGGCUCAACCAUUGCAAGCACUUGAAACUGAAGGACUUGAGUACAGGAGAGGAAAGCGGAAUUCCUAGUGUAGCGGUGAAAUGCGUAGAUAUUAGGAGGAACACCAGUGGCGAAGGCGGCUUUCUGGACUGAAACUGACACUGAGGAACGAAAGCGUGGGGAGCAAAC